CCUACGGGAGGCUGCAGUGAGGAAUAUUGGUCAAUGGUCGCGAGACUGAACCAGCCAAGUCGCGUGAAGGAGGACGGCCCUACGUGUUGUAAACCUCUUUUAUCAGGGAAUAAAGUGAGGCACGUGUGCCUGUUUGUGUGUACUUUAUGAAUAAGGAUCGGCUAACUCCGUGCCAGCAGCCGCGGUAAUACGGAGGAUUCGAGCGUUAUCCGGAUUUAUUGGGUUUAAAGGGUGCGUAGAUGGGUUGUUAAGUCAGGUGUGAAAGUUUGCGGCUCAACCGUAACAUUGCAGUUGAUACUGGCAGUCUUGAGUACAGUUGAGGUAUGCGGAAUGCGUGGUGUAGCGGUGAAAUGCUUAGAUAUCACGCAGAACUCCGAUUGCGAAGGCAGCAUAC
rnacentral:rRNA from 1 species